AAUUAGCAAGAUGUCAUUUGUGAUAGAGAAGGAAUGUUUUGUUUCUCUAUCUCAAGGUAAGUUGUUCACUUUUCAGUAAUGUAUUGGGUUUAUGUGGCACGGUUCUGGUAGCACAGGAUGAAACUUCUAUCCUCAUUAGGCUUCAUAAGGCUUCCACAUUUCUCUUGUCCCUUUCCCUUCUCUCUCUCUUGUAUUUUAGUUUGAAACAGUAGCCAGGUCUGGAUUUCUCAGAAUUUCUUGCAUCCUUGAUUUCAGAUCAGUAACAUUUCACUUUCCUUGAGAGUCUUAAAUGAGUCACAAGACAUUAAACUAAAACUGAGGAAGUACAAAAGCAUGAUGUUCCUACAUCAAGUCUUGCACACAAACCUCAUGUAAACCUUCCAUCUGCCUGCACUUUGCAUUGCCUCUUCUUUGUGACCACAGCUGAAAGAGGCAAAAUUCCUCCAGUUCUUCCCUUCUUUGUUAGGAUUUUGGAGUAGUUCAGAUGUUAUCUCUGUAUGUGGGAGCAGCUCUACCCUGUAAUUCCAGAGCUCCUCGACUAGAGGUCAGCAACACAUCAAAGAACAUGAGAGAAAAUUACAAGCUCUGGAAUACUGGCUACCCCUAGACAUUUUAUUUUGCAUUUGAAAUGAAGAUUCUUGAUAUGGUUAACCAGCAGCAGCUAUAAGUCACAGAGAUGUGUGACCAGAGUAGUGGAAUGCUUCUGUUGUCUAUUUUAUGUAUUAGAAGUAUGUAGGAAGUAGUGCUUCCAAAUUUUAAACGAUAAGAAAAAUUUUCACCCUUUCAGUAUUAUUUGUUCUUACAUAGGAAGUUGCACAUUUUCAUGUGAUAUGUAGUUUAGAAAAAAUCCCAUUUCUAGAAAUUUUUACUGCUAAAUCUUUAUAUAAAUUUUUCAGUUGCAUUGGUGUUUUCUUCCCACAGUGCUAGCUAAAGUGCUUGGAAGAAAAGAUCAGUGUGUGAAGGAGAUGUGGUUAUAAUAGAUUACUUUACAAAGAGGCUCACAGUCCUAUUUUUCAUGUCCUUACAACUUCACAGAGUACAGAACAGAUCAGUCACUUUUUAAUAAAGGGCAAUUUUGUGCUAUGGCAUAUUGACUUCAAUAGGGAAUUCUGCUUAAAGCCUGAUGGCACAACAGAGAGCCCUAUUUCCAUGAAGGCAGGUGUAGGCAUUUGUGUUUCCACUGCCAGUCUCUCGGUACCACUUUGGAGGAAGAAAUCAGUGGGCUUUCCAGGUGAACCUUUCCUGCAUGUGAAACGUGAACUUGCUAGGAGCAAUUACACUGAUCUGUGGUGUGAGAUGGUUGGAAAGUUACCUGUCCUCUGUGUAAGAACUGUUUUAAUCUCUUCAGAAUCCCUUGGGGUUUUGCUGUUAGGAACAGGAUCACAAUUCAGAUGAACAUUACUGAAAUUUCAGAGAUGCCUCAAAGCUUUAUCCAAGAAAGAACCCCCAUCAUGCUGGUACUGUGCAAGUACAAAGACCUCUUUUUAGGUUUCCUGAUGUGUGCUGGAAGACAUCCCUAACCCCAUCAGUGGUUGUGCUUUGGUGGGACUUGUUGUUGGGUGGGGGUUACUCCCUCCUAUCUGAAGGAUAUCCUGAUUCAUCGAAGUGAUAGUCCCAGUCCCAAAGAACAGCUGGGGACACUGAGAAUGGUUGAUUACACUGAGCAGAGCCCUCCAGUUCCUGUGAGCUGAGCUGCUGUCUAGCAGGUGAAUUGGAAAGCUUGAAAGCCUUAAGUGUAUGGAACAGUCAUUACCUUCCCCUAACAAGAACCUGACUGGCAAAUUUGGUUUAAUACUUCUAACUAAUGGCAAAACCACUGCAACCUACUGACUAGUUCUCAGACACAAACCAGAUACCAGGGUUCCAGAAUACAGAGUCUUAACCCCCAUGGCUAUUGGCCCAUUUUUUCACUCUUUCAAAUAACUUUGCCUCUCGUAAAUCUGUUGCUCAUUUAAAGCAAACUUUCUGCUUGCAUCAGAAAUUACUUCCAGCACUGGUUAUGAAGCUUUCUGCAAUAUGUUAUAAAAUGAGGGCUGGGUUUGCUGCUUAAAUAAAGAAAGCCAGUUUGCUUCAAACGGAUCAUUUAUUGCUACCUUCAUACUGUAUAUUUAUUGUGAGGAUAUUGUCACAUUUCUUUCAGUUUUGAAAAUGUAAGUUGGAUUUUCUCUUUCAGGUUGCCAUCUGGUGUAUUGCGAACAGUCUCAGAGAGUAAGAGGCCAUCUGUUAAUACUUUUUCAGGAAGCUUUUUAUAGAGCAGUGAAGUGGCAAAUCUCAAAAACACGUUGUAAUGACUUACAAGAUCUUGGGUAUGUGUACAAGUAAAGGCUGGUAUUUUAUUCCUAUCAACAAUAUAGUUAUCAAGCUGGGAAGGAAAGGAAGAGAAGAAAGAGAACUUGCACACAAAUGCACAUGCAUUUUAAUGUCUCUUGCAUAUAUUACUUUUUCUAUUUUUACAUGAAAUGUAAAGUGAGUUUCUGCAGCUCUGAUUCAGUUUAUGCUCAUGUACUUUAGCAGGACUAAUUGCCUCUUUGAGAAACUGUUUCCUUCUUUAGCCAGUAAUAGAAAUCAAGUGACCCAGGAUUUUGCCUAAUAAUACUAAAAAUGUAGCUUAUGUUACUGUAGCAUGUGAUUUUUACACCUCCAAUGGCUGCUAUAUCUAAGAUGCUGAUGGGUCUGCUGCAAGAUGGCUGCCACGUGGGAAGGCCUUCAGUUCAGAACUUCUGCUUUUAGUGCCAACAACCUCAAGUUCAAUAUCUGCUGUGUUCCUAUGCAGAAGGUUAGUUACAGAUUCAGCUCCACAAGCACAGAUUUUUCAGCCCAAAUUUGAUAUGCUCACUUGGUCAUUGAAAGUAGCAGUAAGAGGACAUGACUUACAGAAGUGUUGCCUCAUCAACCACUGAAGUAUUCUGAUUGUUGUGGAACAAAAAAGACUGGGAAGGAGCUAGAUAUGAGAAUUGCCAAUUAAAUGCCUGCAAUGAAGCUUGCUGCAGGAGUAGCAUUAACACUGGUCUCUCUGUGUGUCUGACAGAGGAUGCCUCUGGUUUUUGUGCCCAGGGCUGUGUUGUGCAAUGAAAGGAAACAAGUAAAUCCUUUUAAGGUGCUGUGGUAAUGCUCAUAGCUUAAAAAAUAAAAUAGUGCUGAUGGUUGGUGCUAUCAUUUUAUAUUUAGACAAAUUGAAGACCUGGGGAAGAGAAAAGGUGACCUUUGCAAGGUUGUCCAUGAGGUCUCUGGUACAACUAGGAGUAGUUACUGGGUUUCUUGAAGGUCUCUCUGUGGGCUAUAUAUGCUGCUGAGCCAUUUUUUCCCCACUUGCAUUGACUUUCUCAUGAUUUUAUGGUACAGCAGAAGCAAUUAGAGCCACAUCGUGUGCCUGCUGUGUGCAGUGCUGAGGUUUGUCUCAACUCUUCCGGCCUCUAUGAGAGAAGACCUGAGAAAAUACUUGCAUCUUUCAAGACCAGGCUCUUUGAAAGCACUCGGAGAAGCAUCAGGUUACUGAUUCCUUUGUAAGCCUGAUGUGCUGAGGAAGGAAAGCAAGUGCUGAUUAUCUGGGCAGGUGACUAGUUUUGCUGCUACAGAAAGAUGUGAUCAGCUGUUUUGUUCAGUGCUCAUAUAAAUCCUUGGUGAAUGGUGUCUUCCACUUCUGCCUGUACAUUAUCUGAAAUGACCCAGUCAAGCACAUUUUUCUGUAUUUUAAUGCUAUAUUAAUUCUUUGUGUUCUGCACUGAGAAGAUUCCUUGGUGAUGUUCUUGGGCAACCCUCCACAGAAUCAGUCCUGCUUCAAUGAAUAGUAAUAUAAAAUCUUUUUCCCUUCAGUGACUCCAAAUUUGAUAGCAGGACAUCAAAAACAUCAUUCAGCCUUGAUUGCAGUAAUGGAUGAAGAACUGCUUGUGCUGGAGGAUACCAAAUUACAGAGGAAUGCCAUGUGUACUCCCGGAUGUACAUGACAGAUGAACAGGAAAGGAGACGAAAGCUUACAUUUGACUGCUUGCAGGAUAAUUGUGUUAGUGCAUAAUAAUCCAGGACAUGGUUCAAUCACAGAGGCUGAAAUUCUGAGGGUCCCUUUUUAGUGUUGAAUGAAAGAAACUGUUCAAUUCAAGAACCGUAACAAUUCAGUUACUGCUAAUCUUCCUCCUUAAGCUGUGCAUGACACUUUACUAUCUUUAAUUUUUUUAACAUCAUUAGUUAGGUGAAUAGCAAACAUGAGGAAAAAGUGUGAAUCACCUUCCUAGUUCUCCUCUCAAUAAAAAUCUCUACAAAAAUCUUUCACAAACCACUUAGAUACUCAUCACG